GAAAGACAGAGAGAGCUGUGAAGCUGUGAACUGACACCAGCGCCUGGGUCUGGACGUCAGUGGUUCCCAGCGGAGGCAGAGUGGUAUACAGGCCAGCGGAGGUGGUGAUGCAGGCUUCACUCAUACAGAUUGGCGAGGGUGCGUCACAUGAUUUGGCCUCCGUGCGUUGCUGGGCAACGGGACGCUGGAGCUGACAGGAGACACUGCACAGCGUGCGUUGACAGAGGUGACGUCACUGGAUGGCAUCCAGUGCCUGGUACCCAGCGGCGGGAAGCGGAGGAGGACUACGUGCACUGGAACACCAGAAUGAAUGUAAGAAAGAUGGAUGAGGGAGAAGGACACGACUUUUAGGAGGCAGAUGGUCCCAUCCUCACCUCAGUAAUGUCAGUGGAAAUUUCCCACUGAUAUGUGGGCCACUGUCUGAUCCUGCAGAACUCCAUCAGCGGUCAUCCACAGAACACUUCAAGUUCUGUGUGUGUGUUGGCGGGCUGUAGGCCGGAGGACAGGACAGCGCAGGACAGGCUGGCGUGAGCGAGUACGGUGUGACGUCAGCACGUCAAACCAUGGCCAGGAACACAGCACAUGGUGGCCAGGUGCACAGCGCAGGGCGGGCAGGAGGGAGCGAUGUGUGACGUCAGCACAUCACAUGACGAGCCGGCCGGUGCUGUUCCCUGACCAUUGACAUACAUAAAUCAAUUUACUGAUAGGCUAUUUACUAAAACAGAAGAAGAUAUAUGGAUUCCUUGAUUAGAGUUUGGUGAAUCUCUAAAACCUUAAUUUGUGAACAAUGUCACACCUGAUUAUAUAGAGCAUUUGAUUUUACUGGGAUAUUUAUUUAAAAUAAGGGACUUUUCAUUCGACAAUGAUCUGUAAAAUGAUUUUGCUUAUUAACCAACUUGGUAAAAUUAUUAUAAACUCGAGUGCUAAAGGAAUGGUAUGUAAAACACUGCACAAGUAAUAAAAAAUAGGCUUACAUUUGAUUUAGCAUCUAGAAAUAAAUAUAGCUAAUUUAAGAUAUUAUACAUUGGAGAAAGAAAAAUGCUGAUGCACACUCUAAGCACUAAGAACACUGAUAGUAAAAAUUAUUUUGAUAAACCCUCACAAUUAACAUGGAGAAUGUCACGAUUCCCCAUGCUGCGAUUCUCCAGAUACACCAAUCUGAGAACGCUGCCCCGUGACACCUUUACCUCAGCAUGUGAUAAAUCCACGCGGUAAACUACCUUCAGCAGAAAUACCAGUCGCUGCGUCUGCCAGGCUAAGCGACUUUGAGGGACAACGCCCAGGGCGAGCUUCUGCUCUCACCUGCACAUAAAGUUAUUAUUACGUAAAAAGGUAGGUAACCUGACCUUGGUCGAGGCUUUUGGUUUGGAAAACACAGGUAACAAAAAUAAAAUUAAGAUUUUUAUUAUUAAUCUAAGUAUAAACUUCAAAGUUUAGUGUUACAGAAAAAAGAAAGUUACAAGAAUAUAAUAGUUGUAAAUAGUCACACACGUAAAUAUAAUUUCAAAUAAAAUAACUAAAAUAGGAAUAAGCACAGCUUCACCUGAACUUGGGCUGGCGGAUUGAGGCCUAUCCUUGAUUGACUUAUUGGAACAUCUGUAUACUUCGAUAGCCUCAUGCAGAAUGAACACCUUCCAGCCUGUGUUCCUAAUAUUUAAAACCCAGGCUGCACUCACAGGCCCCCCUCCCUCUGGAGAGUUUGU